rnacentral:rRNA from 1 species
GAUGAACGCUGGCGGCAUGCCUUACACAUGCAAGCCGAACGGCAGCACGGGAGCAAUCCUGGUGGCGAGUGGCGAACGGGUGAGUAAUAUAUCGGAACGUGCCCAGUCGUGGGGGAUAACGCAGCGAAAGCUGUGCUAAUACCGCAUACGAUCCAUGGAUGAAAGCGGGGGAUCGCAAGACCUCGCGCGAUUGGAGCGGCCGAUAUCAGAUUAGCUAGUUGGUGGGGUAAAAGCCCACCAAGGCGACGAUCUGUAGCUGGUCUGAGAGGACGACCAGCCACACUGGAACUGAGACACGGUCCAGACUCCUACGGGAGGCAGCAGUGGGGAAUUUUGGACAAUGGGCGCAAGCCUGAUCCAGCAAUGCCGCGUGCAGGAUGAAGGCCUUCGGGUUGUAAACUGCUUUUGUACGGAACGAAACGGCGAGCUCUAAUAAAGUUUGCUAAUGACGGUACCGUAAGAAUAAGCACCGGCUAACUACGUGCCAGCCGCCGCAGUAA